rnacentral:rRNA from 1 species
GACGAACGCUGGCGGCGUGCCUAAUACAUGCAAGUCGAGCGGACUGACUGGGAGCUUGCUCUUGUUCGGUCAGCGGCGGACGGGUGAGUAACACGUGGGCAACCUGCCCGCAAGACCGGGAUAACUCCGGGAAACCGGAGCUAAUACCGGAUAACACCGAAGACCGCAUGGUCUUUGGUUGAAAGGCGGCGCAAGCUGCCACUUGCGGAUGGGCCCGCGGCGCAUUAGCUAGUUGGUGAGGUAACGGCUCACCAAGGCGACGAUGCGGAGCCGGCCUGGGAGGGUGACCGGCCACACUGGGACUGAGACACGGCCCAGACUCCUACGGGAGGCAGCAGUAGGGAAUCUUCCGCAAUGGGCGAAAGCCUGACGGAGCGACGCCGCGUGAGCGAAGAAGGCCUUCGGGUCGUAAAGCUCUGUUGUGAGGGACGAAGGAGCGCCGUUUGAAGAAGGCGGCGCGGUGACGGUACCUCACGAGGAAGCCCCGGCUAACUACGUG